rnacentral:lncRNA from 1 species
CAGCAUCAACAAUACAAAAUAAAUAUAAUAUGAAAAUAUUUUUCACAUUGUAUAUCAUGAAUUUAACAUGUUGACAUUGUAGAUGUAGAUAUUUUUCUCUGCAAACUUGGUCAAAUUUGCAAAGCUUGACAUUUGAAUUUUUUUUCUUUAUGUUCUAUAUUUUGAAACAUAAGGCUUGUAGCAUUAACAAUGGAACUGUGUUGCUAUUGUUGCCACCACUAAGGGGCUGAGAAUGAUAUUUUGCUUCGAGGAGUCUGGACAAACCGUGGAUGAUGAAUGAUUUUAUGGAUAAGUGAAGUUACUUGUAGAGAAUUACAUUGUUUUUACAAGAUAAAUUGAAAUGUUUGUGUGUAAAGGUAACUAACAUAAUUAACCAUGUAAUUGGGUGUUCAUUGUAUCAUCAUCAUCAUUAUUAAAAUUUCUAAUGUUUCUCAUUCUUAUUUAAGCUCUUUUUUUGUUAUAUGCAUACGAUUCUACAACAUUACAAAAUAAGCUUUUGGAGAUCAUGCUAUACAAUUCUAAUAUUUGUAAGUAAAAAAUUAGUAUAAAUUGAUGGCCUGACCUUGAUUAUUUCUUACUCUCGUAACUAGUAGAAACAUAACUAGAACUAUCCACAUAAUUGUGUUGCUAUUUUAAAAUUAUCUUUGAAAAUACAGUGUUUGUUAUUAAAAAAAAUUGUCGGACAUGUUUCACAUAUCUAUCCUUCUUCAUAGUUGCAAAAUGCAAUUGGAGUUGGUAUAAUUGAUAGUUAAGUCAUGUUGGUGUUACAUGCUAUUAUUGUGUGUCAUUUCGAAAUAAACUUUUAUACUUCUUAUCUCUUAAUAAUUUAAGAUUUUGGGUACCUAUUUAUUCUCUAUUAAUAAAUAUGUAGGUUUUCUGUUAUCUUACUUCAUGUGUUUUCUCUGGGUUGAUGAUAUUUGUUUUUUUAUUUUGUCCUUCAUUACGGUAUUGUGUUUUCUCUUCUCACAAAAUGGAAGUGUUGCCAUCGUACUAUGCUCCAUAUAUUUGUGGUUUGUGUUAUAUAUGUGAUUUUGUACUCAUUACAUAAAAAAAAUAAAAAUUCAGGAGAGCUGGUUGUAGUUUUGGGUACUUGGGAAUUAUAUUUCCACCUUUUCAGGUAUUGACACCAAUACCAUCUCCUUGCUGUUAACUAACCAAAUUAGGUCUGCAUUUGGCUAGAUACUAUGUAUAGUUGUAUAUGUUAUACUACCUCCAUGUUCAACUCCUAGAUAUAGUUGGGUACGCUAUACAUCUCUACACAUGGUUAAUCUUAAUCCCUAGAGGUGGGGAUAGGUGCUUUAAAAUAAUUACAGUGGACAUGGCACACGGCUAACAAAUGUUGGUGUGUCACUACUAGAUAUAGAAUUUUGUCAUUAGUAACAAUUUUUUUCAGAUUUUUUUUUCGUUUUUUUCUUAAUCUCAAGUCAUUAUGUCUUAAUCUCGGGUCAAAUCGCACUCCGUGGUCAAACUUCCCGAAAGGUCACCCAUCCUCACACUACUCCAGCCCAAGCACGCUUAACUUCAAAGUUCUAUCCAACCCCAGCAACAGCUCACUUCACAGGCACUUGUUGAUAUAUGUAACAUAUCAAUCCUAUUAUACCUUAUUGAUGUCUAGGACUUUGUUCAUGUUCAUGACUAUGAUGAAAUUUUGAAAAAUAUUUCAAACUUUCCGGUCAUAUUACGUAUCAUUUUUUGAAUUUUUUUUUUAAAAAAUUCAAAACCUUUUUUUUUGAAUUUUUUUGCCUCUAGAUCUUGAAAGCCCCAUAACUUUUUUUGUGUUAGGUUUUUGGGGAUUUUAAAAAUGUUUAACGGGGUGCACGGGUCCACCAUGCCACCUUUCCCGCAUGCAGUUACAGGGUUGUUUCCCGUAUAUGGCUAAAUUUUGUGGUCCGCACACAUACCGUGACCCUGUCCGUUCCCCUCAUCUCUCAUCUCUCACGCCUCUCGAGACCUAGACUAGGGCGCCGCCGCUGCAACCCCAACCGGAGAUGCUCCCUCGGCGGAGGGUUUUGACGGGCACGGGCGUGUCCCGCCGGCUUCUGUGCCGCGUGUGGCCCGAACACCGGCCAUCCUGCGGAAUCUCCCUGGCUUCUGCGACGCCUGUGGACGGAGGAGGGGGAGGCCCUGAGCGCCGGUCAUCCUUGCGAAUAUCUCCAUGGCAGAGACGAUGCAAUGGUAGCUAAAUUCUAUGGUCGGCCUCUUUCGACGUGUGACGGCAAACUGGUCUGGUGAGUUGAUCUGACUGAUGGGAAGUACGGUGCAUCGCAGCCCUGCUCCGGUAACUGUUCUCCAUAGACUCCAGGCCGACAGUAUAGUUCUUGUAGAUCUGCCCGAGGAGCGUCCCGCUAUGGCGUUGACCGCCACAGAUCUGAAGGUACCGGUGGGCAGGGGCGGAGCUUCGUUACGGCUGAACCGGGCCAUGGCCCGCCCAGGAAUCUCGUGAUUAUUUUUUAUACCUAUCCUUUGCCUCGUAGCCUACUCGGCCUAGUUACGAUCGAUCCAAGUCUCAAGGUUUGGCACGCCACUAGGAGCAGAAACUGUCAGCCGGCUAUGCCGCCACCAGCAACUCGCGCAGCUCAGAUCUCGCGUCGGAGAGCCAGCGCCCAUCCCCCUUCCAGGCUCCCAAGUCCCAUCUUCGGCCCUUCCCCGCGGAGAUCGCACAGCCUCCUCGCCGCUAAAUACACGCUUCCUGCUGCCUGCUCCAUGGCUCUGCCUGCCUUCUCGCGACCUCGCCAUGGCGCCAUCCUCCCUUCGGCCCUUCCUUCUAGGCUCCGGCCUCCACACGGACCAGUUCUGGCCCUGGCCGUCGGGAUGCUGCCGCUGUGUCGCCCAGAUCAUUACUCCGACCCUUGCCUCCUCUGACCACUGCAAAAUACACUGCGCUAGCAACCAACUAGAUUUGCCGGUGCGUUGUUGAGUGCCGACGCUUAGUAGAGCUCAAUCAGCUCGAUGCAAGGUUUUUCAGUUGCGACUUGGCGAGUCGCCGCGAGCCCUGCGGCUUGGCGAUUAGUCGACAAAAUUCACUAUAUAGUCACCAUAAGUCGCUGUAUAGUCGCGAGUCGCCCUGAUUUUUGGAAAACGACUUGGCGAUUAGUCGGCGACUAUACAGCGACAAAAAAACCAUGGCUCUAUGUUCACCUCCUGAUGCCGCUGCCGCUGGGCAGUUUCUAAAUAUCUCCAGAGCAGCAUGCUUUUGUUAUGAAUUGAGCAACAUCAAUGCAUUUUAUUAUCAAUUCAUAUGUAGAAAUACACGAUAAAGAUAUAUUUUUCCUUUGUUCCUAAUGCAUAACAUUUUUUGAUAAGUGCAUUUUAGUGUAUGGAGAUCAUUGAAACGAGUCAUAAUAAGGUAGAAGAUGAGUCUCUUAGUAGUAACUUGUUUGCUAACCCAUCCCAACCGAGUUCUCUAGCUGGUGAUGCUGCCUGGAUCUACUCGAUUUGCUAACGGUUUACGGUGGUCUUGCCUGAUGAUAAUCCAGAGUAAGCGCAGAUACCUGAUGCAGUAUGUCGACCUCAGCUUGCAUGAUUUAGUUUGGAUCAGGCGAAGCUCUAUUGAUUUGUGUGCUGUGGUAGCACCAGUAAGGCUGUUGCCUGAGGAGAUUGAUUGCGAUAAAAUAGCACAAGGUUUAGAUAUGUGAAGGGUUGCAGUUGAGAGUAUCGUAUGACAAUAUGGUGUCUUCAACAUAUUCGUGUCUUAUCUAGAUGAACUAGCAGAAUUAACUAUGUAAUUGAGUGGGUAGUAGAAUAAUUAUAAACAUUUAGUUGUAUUUGGUACAAGUCUACGCUUUUAUGGUAUUUUAAAAAUGUUUUGCCAUUUAUGAUAUACAAUUCAAAUGUUUGUCAUUGAAACUUUAGUAUACUUCUCAAAAUCAUGAAUUUAACAUGUUGACUUUUUACUGUUUCAAAAUAUAGUACAUACAUAUCUUUUCUUAAGUCAAACUUUGCAAUGUUUGGCCAAGUUUAUAGCGAAAAAUACCAGCAUCAACAAUACAAAAUAAAUAUAAUAUGAAAAUAUUUUUCACAUUGUAUAUCAUGAAUUUAACAUGUUGACAUUGUAGAUGUAGAUAUUUUUCUCUGCAAACUUGGUCAAAUUUGCAAAGCUUGACAUUUGAAUUUUUUUCUUUAUGUUCUAUAUUUUGAAACAUAAGGCUUGUAGCAUUAACAAUGGAACUGUGUUGCUAUUGUCGCCACCACUAAGGGGCUGAGAAUGAUAUUUUGCUUCAAGGAGUCUGGACAAACCAUGGAUGAUGAAUGAUUUUAUGGAUAAGUGAAGUUACUUGUAGAGAAUUACAUUGUUUUUACAAGAUAAAUUGAAAUGUUUGUGUGUAAAGGUAACUAACAUAAUUAACCAUGUAAUUGGGUGUUCAUUGUAUCAUCAUCAUCAUUAUUAAAAUUUCUAAUGUUUCUCAUUCUUAUUUAAGCUCUUUUUUUGUUAUAUGCAUACGAUUCUACAACAUUACAAAAUAAGCUUUUGGAGAUCAUGCUAUACAAUUCUAAUAUUUGUAAGUAAAAAAUUAGUAUAAAUUGAUGGCCUGACCUUGAUUAUUUCUUACUCUCGUAACUAGUAGAAACAUAACUAGAACUAUCCACAUAAUCGUGUUGCUAUUUUAAAAUUAUCUUUGAAAAUACAGUGUUUGUUAUUAAAACAAAUUGUCGGACAUGUUUCACGUUUCUACCCUUCUUCAUAGUUGCAAAAUGCAAUUGGAGUUGGUAUAAUUGAUAGUUAAGUCGUGUUGGUGUUAGAUGCCUAUUAUUGUGUGUCAUUUCGAAAUAAACUUUUGUACUUCUUAUCUCUUAAUAAUUUAAGAUUUUGGGUACCUAUUUAUUCUCUAUUAAUAAAUAUGUAGGUUUUCUGUUAUCUUACUUCAUGUGUUUUCUCUGGGUUGAUGAUAUUUGUUUUUUUUAUUUUGUCCUUCAUUACGGUAUUGUGUUUUCUCUUCUCACAAAAUGGAAGUGUUGCCAUCGUACUAUGCUCCAUAUAUUUGUGGUUUGUGUUAUAUAUGUGAUUUUGUACUCAUUACAUAAAAAAAUAAAAAUUCAGGAGAGCUGGUUGUAGUUUUGAGUACUUGGGAAUUAUAUUUCCACCUUUUCAGGUAUUGACACCAAUACCAUCUCCUUCCUGUUAACUAAUCAAAUUAGGUCUGCAUUUGGCUAGAUACUAUGUAUAGUUGUAUAUGUUAUACUACCUCCAUGUUCAACUCCUAGAUAUAGUUGGGUACGUUAUACAUCUCUACACAUGGUUAAUCUUAAUCCCUAGAGGUGGGGAUAGGUGCUUUAAAAUAAUUACAGUGGAC